UCUGAAGAAACGGGAGAAGUCCCCGGAGAUCCUUUAUUAAUCUCGUGCUCGCGUUUGCAUCGCGUGGACAAAGGACUGGUUGGGGGGACGCUAUCUAUC
rnacentral:tRNA from 1 species